rnacentral:sRNA from 2 species
GCCCUCCUAAUUUUAUCUCACAGCUGUGAUUACAGGCAACAACCCCCAUAUCUAUCCACUCUGACUUGAGGGUUUCCUCGGCUGUUGGUCGCUGUCCGGCUACAAUACCAACAUUCAUCAGCGAAUCAAAUCGAGGGUAUGUAGCAGCCGUUUCAACCGCUUCAAACACGCCCAUUCGACGCUCUCGUCGAUAUCCUUGUACGCCUUCCUCGAAUGCUUCAUCGAUUGGAGGCCAUACAUCCCGGUAUUCUCUUGGGUGUCCAUCAUGGUUGAAGAAUCAUGAUCUUCCCCAGGCCACAAGCUUCCCCUACGCCAUGAGCUUCCCCAUGUUAUGCCAGCAGUGCAGACGGUUGUAUUGCACGGCAGACAUUCUCUACGAGUUGGGGAUGAGAAUGGGAUAGAAUCCAUAAUUAGCAGAAAAGCUGUCUAUGAGGUCCCUGCACAUGUGGUUAAGAUGCUGUCUUAGUGCUCGUGCCGCCACCGGAGUGAUACUUUCGGUUCUUGUUGGAGUGUGUACAACUGAAUUGAUAGUUUGACACAGCAAGGGGUAUAGAAAUUGUGAAGGAAUGGCGAAUCUAAAUCCAGCGCUUGACACCACUGCACUGGCAUAUGCCACUGUCCUUACUUGUACCAAUGUUCUGAAGCUCGCACCCUAGACACCCCUGAGCAUCUUAGCCUGGCUUGUUCAAUUCCUGGGUAUCCUUUUCUUAGCUUGUGCCAUGUCCUAUGGCAGUGUGACAUAAGCCAGGGCACGGUGGUGAGCCUGGGUUUGGCGACAGCUGAAGCAGCGACGUAAAUAAGGCAGCGGAGGGAAGGAAGUGGGGAUGAUGGAUAGGCCAGCCAUAGGAUAAGCUAAGAGUGGGAGACAGAUUUAGGUCUCGUCAUACCGGUGUGGUAUAUUAAAAUCGC